UUAAGCGACUAAGCGUACACGGUGGAUGCCCUGGCAGUCAGAGGCGAUGAAGGGCGUGCUAAUCUGCGAUAAGCGCCGGUAAGGUGAUAUGAACCGUUAUAACCGGCGAUACCCGAAUGGGGAAACCCAGUGUGACUCGUCACACUAUCAUUAACUGAAUCCAUAGGUUAAUGAGGCGAACCGGGGGAACUGAAACAUCUAAGUACCCCGAGGAAAAGAAAUCAACCGAGAUUCCCCCAGUAGCGGCGAGCGAACGGGGAGGAGCCCAGAGCCUGAAUCAGCAUGUGUGUUAGUGGAAGCGUCUGGAAAGGCGCGCGAUACAGGGUGACAGCCCCGUACACAAAAGCGCAUGUGCUGUGAGCUCGAUGAGUAGGGCGGGACACGUGGUAUCCUGUCUGAAUAUGGGGGGACCAUCCUCCAAGGCUAAAUACUCCUGACUGACCGAUAGUGAACCAGUACCGUGAGGGAAAGGCGAAAAGAACCCCGGCGAGGGGAGUGAAAAAGAACCUGAAACCGUGUACGUACAAGCAGUGGGAGCACAGGUUUACCUGUGUGACUGCGUACCUUUUGUAUAAUGGGUCAGCGACUUAUAUUCUGUAGCAAGGUUAACCGAAUAGGGGAGCCGGAGGGAAACCGAGUCUUAAUUGGGCGUUAAGUUGCAGGGUAUAGACCCGAAACCCGGUGAUCUAGCCAUGGGCAGGUUGAAGGUUGGGUAACACUAACUGGAGGACCGAACCGACUAAUGUUGAAAAAUUAGCGGAUGACCUGUGGCUGGGGGUGAAAGGCCAAUCAAACCGGGAGAUAGCUGGUUCUCCCCGAAAGCUAUUUAGGUAGCGCCUCGUGAAUUCAUCUCCGGGGGUAGAGCACUGUUUCGGCUAGGGGGCCAUCCCGGCUUACCAACCCGAUGCAAACUGCGAAUACCGGAGAAUGUUAUCACGGGAGACACACGGCGGGUGCUAACGUCCGUCGUGAAGAGGGAAACAACCCAGACCGCCAGCUAAGGUCCCAAAGUCAUGGUUAAGUGGGAAACGAUGUGGGAAGGCCCAGACAGCCAGGAUGUUGGCUUAGAAGCAGCCAUCAUUUAAAGAAAGCGUAAUAGCUCACUGGUCGAGUCGGCCUGCGCGGAAGAUGUAACGGGGCUAAACCAUGCACCGAAGCUGCGGCAGCGACGCUGAUGCGUUGUUGGGUAGGGGAGCGUUCUGUAAGCCUGCGAAGGUGGCCUGUGAGGGUUGCUGGAGGUAUCAGAAGUGCGAAUGCUGACAUAAGUAACGAUAAAGCGGGUGAAAAGCCCGCUCGCCGGAAGACCAAGGGUUCCUGUCCAACGUUAAUCGGGGCAGGGUGAGUCGACCCCUAAGGCGAGGCCGAAAGGCGUAGUCGAUGGGAAACGGGUUAAUAUUCCCGUACUUGGUGUUACUGCGAAGGGGGGACGGAGAAGGCUAUGUUGGCCGGGCGACGGUUGUCCCGGUUUAAGCGUGUAGGUGUGUGUUCCAGGUAAAUCCGGUUCACUUUAACACUGAGGCGUGAUGACGAGGCACUACGGUGCUGAAGCAACAAAUGCCCUGCUUCCAGGAAAAGCCUCUAAGCAUCAGGUAACAUCAAAUCGUACCCCAAACCGACACAGGUGGUCAGGUAGAGAAUACCAAGGCGCUUGAGAGAACUCGGGUGAAGGAACUAGGCAAAAUGGUGCCGUAACUUCGGGAGAAGGCACGCUGACACGUAGGUGAAGUGAUUUACUCAUGGAGCUGAAGUCAGUCGAAGAUACCAGCUGGCUGCAACUGUUUAUUAAAAACACAGCACUGUGCAAACACGAAAGUGGACGUAUACGGUGUGACGCCUGCCCGGUGCCGGAAGGUUAAUUGAUGGGGUCAGCGCAAGCGAAGCUCCUGAUCGAAGCCCCGGUAAACGGCGGCCGUAACUAUAACGGUCCUAAGGUAGCGAAAUUCCUUGUCGGGUAAGUUCCGACCUGCACGAAUGGCGUAAUGAUGGCCAGGCUGUCUCCACCCGAGACUCAGUGAAAUUGAACUCGCUGUGAAGAUGCAGUGUACCCGCGGCAAGACGGAAAGACCCCGUGAACCUUUACUAUAGCUUGACACUGAACAUUGAGCCUUGAUGUGUAGGAUAGGUGGGAGGCUUUGAAGUGUGGACGCCAGUCUGCAUGGAGCCGACCUUGAAAUACCACCCUUUAAUGUUUGAUGUUCUAACGUGGACCCGUGAUCCGGGUUGCGGACAGUGUCUGGUGGGUAGUUUGACUGGGGCGGUCUCCUCCUAAAGAGUAACGGAGGAGCACGAAGGUUGGCUAAUCCUGGUCGGACAUCAGGAGGUUAGUGCAAUGGCAUAAGCCAGCUUGACUGCGAGCGUGACGGCGCGAGCAGGUGCGAAAGCAGGUCAUAGUGAUCCGGUGGUUCUGAAUGGAAGGGCCAUCGCUCAACGGAUAAAAGGUACUCCGGGGAUAACAGGCUGAUACCGCCCAAGAGUUCAUAUCGACGGCGGUGUUUGGCACCUCGAUGUCGGCUCAUCACAUCCUGGGGCUGAAGUAGGUCCCAAGGGUAUGGCUGUUCGCCAUUUAAAGUGGUACGCGAGCUGGGUUUAGAACGUCGUGAGACAGUUCGGUCCCUAUCUGCCGUGGGCGCUGGAGAACUGAGGGGGGCUGCUCCUAGUACGAGAGGACCGGAGUGGACGCAUCACUGGUGUUCGGGUUGUCAUGCCAAUGGCACUGCCCGGUAGCUAAAUGCGGAAGAGAUAAGUGCUGAAAGCAUCUAAGCACGAAACUUGCCCCGAGAUGAGUUCUCCCUGAGACUUAGAGUCUCCUGAAGGAACGUUGAAGACGACGACGUUGAUAGGCCGGGUGUGUAAGCGCAGCGAUGCGUUGAGCUAACCGGUACUAAUGAACCGUGAGGCUUAACCUU
rnacentral:rRNA from 2 species